rnacentral:misc_RNA from 1 species
UCGAGUUUUGAAACGGGUUGUAGCUGGCCUUCUGAGGCAUGUGCACGCCCUGCUCAUCCACUCUACACCUGUGCACUUACUGUAGGCUUUCAGGAGCUUCUAGAGCAGAGAUGGUCGGCCUUCACAGGUCGGUCGCCUAAGUUUUCUAGUUGUGACUGGGGCUUACGUCUUACCACAAACUCUUAUAAGUAUCAGAAUGUGUAUUGCGAUGUAACGCAUCUAUAUA